GUUGUAAAAUGCGGAAUGAUAUAGCCUUGCAAAGUUUGCAAAUUUUGUAUACUUUUGUAUCGCGUGCGGAAAUUCCUACCACAUUUGGGAAUUUCCGCACGCGAUACAAAAGUUGAUACAAAAUUCGCAAACUUUGCAAGGCUAUAUUUUCCGCAUUUUACAAC